rfam:Smittium culicis strain GSMNP scaffold-9575, whole genome shotgun sequence.
ACCUACUUGGAGAAAUAGGUAGACUCAAACGACUUAAAAUUGUUUGCUUUUUAGCGUGAGGGUUCAAAUCCCUCAGUAGGUA